rnacentral:rRNA from 1 species
AUACGGAGGAUCCGAGCGUUAUCCGGAUUUAUUGGGUUUAAAGGGUGCGCAGGCGGCCAUUUAAGUCAGCGGUUAAAUCGUGGGGCUCAACCCCAUUCUGCCGUUGAUACUGGGUGGCUUGAUUGCGGUCGAGGUUGGCGGAAUUCGUUGUGUAGCGGUGAAAUGCAUAGAUAUACCACAGAACGCCGAUUGCGAAGGCAGCUUACUAAGCUGUUACUGACGCUGAGGCACGAAAGCGUGGGGAUCAAACAGGAUUAGAUACCCUGGUAGUCCACGCUGUAAACGAUGAUUACUGGUUGUUAGCGAUAUAUAGCUAGUGACUGAGCGAAAGCAUUAAGUAAUCCACCUGGGGAGUACGUCGGCAACGAUGAAACUCAAAUGAAUUGACGGGG